AUGACUGGCAUCCACAAAGACAAAGAUGGAAAAUAUGAGCCAUCCAUUUGGCAACAAUGUUGGCAUCUUCCUCAUUUCGUGCUGCCAAGCUCUGACCAGAAAGAUCUUGGCCUGUUUACUGCCCGAUGCAGUCAGUCCAGACUCAGGGUGGCUCAGGUCAUGGUGGUAGAGCCAGCUAUAAUGAGAUUUAGACAUGCAAGAAAAAGACAGAGAAAGGGAUCCAGACUCCGUAUCAGAAACAAGCUAAAGGGAACACUAGAAAACCUUCAUGAAAUCAAAGAGUGUAUACUAAAAGAGGUUUACCAGCAUUCCAAGACGAUGUCAUCAGGGAGACAGCAUGGUCAAGUUACCAUUGAAGGAGUCCUUCCAGUCCAUUUCCCAAAACUAGGAGUUGAAAGGUGAGUUUUGUAAUUGGUUCGCUUUGAAUAGAUUAUUUAUUUUAAGCUGCCUGGUCUGAUGAUGCAAUAAGCAGGGGAACAAGCUUGGUUUGAAGAUAGAUUUCUGAUCUUCUGGGAAGUGUUUCCACUUUAAUAAGCUUUGAUUCCCCAAGGAAAUUCCUAAAGGCAUUCAGUCACAACCUACUGGGUUGCCAGGUCUCUGUAAAUACACACAUGCGCAUGUGCACACACACAUACAGGAAUGGAUAAUUUUGUAGUCACGACAGUGAAUGCUGCUGACAGUAAGCAGAGAGGAAACUAUUUGGGGAAAAUUUUUCUUCUUGCAAUUUGAAUCCAGUGGUUGGGGGUUCACAAAUUAAGAGACAAUGGACAGAUUAAGAGGAGAAAAGAUGGCUGGGCACAGUGGCUUACAGCUGUAAUCCCAGUACUUUGGGAGGCUGAGGCAGGUGGAUCACCUGAGGUCAGGAGAUCGAGACCAGCCUGGCCAACAUGGUGAAACCCCAUCUCUACAAAAAAUUAAAAAAAAAAAAUUAGCUGGGAGUGGUGGCACACACCUGUAAUCCCAGCCUCUUGGGAGGCUGAGGCAGGAGAAUAGCUUGAACCCAGGAGGCGGAGGUUGCAGUGAGCAAAGAUUGCACCAUUGCACUACAGCCUGGGUGACAAGAGUGAAACUCUGCCUCAAAAAAAAAAAAAAAAAAAGAGGGGAGAAGACAUGAUUUAUUUAUACUUACAGGCAGGAAUACUCAGUAAUAAGUAACUCACUCAUUAACCAGAGGAAAAAGGUUAUAUGCCAAACUUAACCAAGAAGGAGGGAGAGUGGUUAGGGAAAGUAUGGAAGAUUCUAUUGGACUUUUUUUUUAUGCUAGUGGAAAUGGGCCGUCUAUUUCCAUGGCAGUUGUAUUUUCUGAAGACUCUAACUUUAUCAGAUAAGAUAAUUUCAGAUAAGAUUUCUUUCUGAAUCUUCUUUAAAUCCAACAUUUUCAUUUAAAAAUUAUCUUUAUAUCAUGUCUAGGGGUCCAAGUGGGUCCCCACAUGUCCUUCAUCUGAAACUAUUCUGGACAUUUCACCAAAAAAGAGAAACAAAGCAAGUUUUAUUGAUGUAGAGAGUGAUUUAUGUUAGAAAUUGUGAGGAAAGAGAUCAGCAAAGGGACAGAAAAACAAAGAUUAAAGGUUGGAACCGAGUAGAACCAAUUUCUGAGUAUAGAAGGCAGCCAGUCCCGUCAAGAAGGUUUCUAGAUGUUGAGUCUGAAGCCUCUUUAGUAAAGAUGGUAGUGGGAAUGUCAUAAUAAUGGUUAUUUGCUGGAUCAGGGCAUGGAAGAUGCACAUGUUCUGGUAAACUUUCUGGGCAUCCCACAUUGUUGUGGUGGUGAUCAAUCUUUUGAGGUCUAUCAAGUUGUCCAGCUUCAGCACCCAGAGCUUCAAGAAAUGGCCAGUGCUAGUUCUUAGUGACAACAAGUCAGGAGAGUGGGGGAAAAAUGAAAGUGUUAAUUACUGACAAAAUGUGCAAGAUGAU
ensembl:lincRNA